rnacentral:lncRNA from 1 species
UGGAGUCAACUCAUGAGACUAUGAAAUACACGUAUUAGCAAAGUGUUGUGUUAAGAAAACUGUGACUCCCCCAUUCAAAGUAGCUUUUGAAGACACUAGAAGUACUUUUGAAAGCCAAAAAAGAUGAACCCUCACAAAGCUGAAAACAACACUGCAGACGUCAUCUAGGUGGAGUCACUAACAACUGAAAGAAGACAGAGUUUAAGGGAAAAAACCCAUAAGCUUUGGCACAUGAAACAGAGACCUCCCUCCUGAAAAAUAAAAAUGAAAUUAAAUGAUUAUGCUCUCAUUGCUAAAACAGCAAUGUGUAUGACCUGCACCUCUGCCUUGCUCGUAACACUAGUGACGUAGCUGGUCCCUGUGUGCUGAUUCAGAGAGUUAUGACCUCUUCAGCCUCUGGGCCUUUGAGCACGCCGUUCCCUCUGCUAGAAAUACAUCUUGACCCUUCAUUGCGCUGACUCCCAUUCUUCUUCAGUUACUAGUGAGUACUGAUGUCACUUUGACCCUCACCCCAAGCCUAGAUGGGGUCUCGCUGCUAUAGGGGCCCGUAAGCCCUGAUGCUCUUCUUGUUAUAACAUUUAUUCCACUUCAUUUAAUUACUUGUUCUCUUUAGCUUCUCCACUAUGUUCUGUGUGGGCAAAAAACUCACCUUUCUCAUUCAUCACUCCAUCACUAGAGCCUUGAACACCAUCUGGC